rnacentral:rRNA from 1 species
UACGUAGGGGGGCUAGCGUUGUCCGGAAUCAUUGGGCGUAAAGAGCGUGUAGGCGGUCCGGUAAGUCCGCUGUGAAAGUCGGGGGGCUCAACCCUCGAUGCCGGUGGAUACUGUCGGGCUAGAGUGCGGAAGAGGCGAGUGGAAUUCCUGGUGUAGCGGUGAAAUGCGCAGAUAUCAGGAGGAACACCAAUUGCGAAGGCAGCUCGCUGGGACGUGACUGACGCUGAGACGCGAAAGCGUGGGGAGCAAACAGG